UACGAAGGGUGCAAGCGUUGUUCGGAUUUAUUGGGCGUAAAGGGCGCGUAGGCGGAUUGCUAAGUCAGAUGUGAAAUAUCGGGGCUCAACCCCGAAAGUGCGUCUGAAACUGGCGAUCUAGGAUACUGGAGAGGAAAGCGGAAUUUCGCAUGUAGGAGUAAAAUCCGUAGAGAUGCGAAGGAACACCGGAGGCGAAGGCGGCUUUCUGGCCGGUAAUCGACGCUGAGGCGCGAAAGCGUGGGGAGCAAACAGG
rnacentral:rRNA from 1 species